GAUGAACGCUGGCGGCGUGCCUAAUACAUGCAAGUAGAACGCUGAAACUUGGUGCUUGCACCGAGCGGAUGAGUUGCGAACGGGUGAGUGACGCGUAGGUAACCUGCCUCUUAGCGGGGGAUAACUAUUGGAAACGAUAGCUAAUACCGCAUAAAAGUCGACAUCGCAUGAUGUUGACUUGAAAGGUGCAAUUGCAUCACUAAGAGAUGGACCUGCGUUGUAUUAGCUAGUUGGUGAGGUAACGGCUCACCAAGGCGACGAUACAUAGCCGACCUGAGAGGGUGAUCGGCCACACUGGGACUGAGACACGGCCCAGACUCCUACGGGAGGCAGCAGUAGGGAAUCUUCGGCAAUGGGGGCAACCCUGACCGAGCAACGCCGCGUGAGUGAAGAAGGUUUUCGGAUCGUAAAGCUCUGUUGUAAGAGAAGAACGAGUGUGAGAGUGGAAAGUUCACACUGUGACGGUAACUUACCAGAAAGGGACGGCUAACUACGUGCCAGCAGCCGCGGUAAUACGUAGGUCCCGAGCGUUAUCCGGAUUUAUUGGGCGUAAAGCGAGCGCAGGCGGUUAGAUAAGUCUGAAGUUAAAGGCUGUGGCUUAACCAUAGUACGCUUUGGAAACUGUUUAACUUGAGUGCAGAAGGGGAGAGUGGAAUUCCAUGUGUAGCGGUGAAAUGCGUAGAUAUAUGGAGGAACACCGGUGGCGAAAGCGGCUCUCUGGUCUGUAACUGACGCUGAGGCUCGAAAGCGUGGGGAGCAAACAGG
rnacentral:rRNA from 1 species